UAAUUCCUGAGGUGUUCGACAACCCCGCAUAUUUUGAACCUACAUUUGUUUAAACGGGAUUCCUAUAUUGCAGGCACGAUGGAAAGCCUCCUUCGAGUGGACUUCAGAAUGUCUCGCUGCGGUUGCCCACCUAGCUCGGCUAGGACUCAAAAAUGCGGGACCGGCAUUUCGGGAUACAU
rnacentral:other from 1 species